AACGCUGCUCGUUGCAGAGAGGAACGAGAGGGAGAAGACAACCAGGAAGGAGAGGUGAGUUCUGUAUUUUUAUUCCCAAAACUGUCUUUCUCAGUACAAGUGCUACUAUUUAUUACAACCAGCUAUUAAGCGCCGGCCCACCCUUCAACGGAUCCACUCGGCACCGGACCAUUUGCUAUUGGGCUUCCUUGUUCGCCGGCCCAUCACUUCAUCAGUUCCUGCUCUCCUGUCGUCCCCCAACUCCAGGUCGCCUACAGGAAUACUGACAUUCCCCUCCUGUUGAGAGACAGCUUGUCCCCAAGCGUCGGCCCCUGGAAAACGAGCGUGCAAAGCUGCUUCAUCUUCCCAAGAAUCCAGCGCUUCAUCAGACUCGGACCAACGUACACGUACUUGGGGCAGCAGGGCUCCACUACGAGAUAUCACCCGCCUGUCCAAAAUCUGAAGAGGAACACGGGGAGCAGCGAAGCUGUCUGGCAAUGUGGUGCUGACUUGGUGAUGCCCUUUGGAUUGUUUAAGCUGAGACACAUGGAAUACAGGAUGUAUUCGCGCUGUCGAGGGCAACUGCAACUUGUAAGCAGCCUUGCCCACUCGCUGUAAGACUGUGUAUGGUCCAAAGUAACGAAAACUCAGCUUAUGAUUGGCCCGUGUAGCAACUGAUGACUGUACGUAAGGCUGGAGCUUCAGAUAAACAAGAUCGCCGAUACUGAAUUCCCGAUCAGACCUGCCCUUAUCUGCUUGUGCCUUUGUCCUCUGUUGAGCUCGCAAGAGAUGCUGUCGGACAAGUCGCACCAUCAACUCUCUGUCAGAUAACCAGGACUGAAGAUCAUCCGAAGUAGGAACAUUCUCAGUUGUAAAUCCAAAAUGGCGAGGAACAUGUCCAUAAAGUACUUCAAAGGGAGUCCGACCCAAAGAGGAAUGGAAAUUGGUAUUGUACCAAUACUCAGCCAAGGGCAACCAUGCCGACCAUUUGGAAGGACAGGAAUGCACAAAGCAGCGAAGAUACGUCUCUAAGCACUGGUUCACCCUUUCCGUCUGCCCGUCCGUCUGAGGAUGAUAUGAUGAACUCAUCUUUAGUGUAGUACCCGACAGAUGAAACAACUCUUGCCAAAACCGACUUGUAAACACCUUGUCACGAUCCGACACAAUGGCUGUGGGAAGGCCAUGGAGCCUGUAAACUGAAUCUAAGAACAGUUGGGCUACCUUGAGUGCAGAGAAUGGAUGCAACAAUGGUAGAAAAUGUGCAUAUUUGGAAAAAUGAUCCACCACCACCAAGAUUGUAUCAGCACGAUUAGAGCGAGGAAGACCCUCCACAAAAUCCAUUCCGACCACUUGCCAUGACUGUUCUGGUACUGGAAGGGGUUGCAAUAACCCUGGGUACUUGCUCUUGUCAGACUUAGCCUGUUGGCACACAGAACAAUUGGCCACAAAUUCUUUGACUGCUGAUUUCAUUCCAACCCAUGCAAAGAUUUGCUUGAUCUUGCGAUAAGUAACAGGAAAACCCGAAUGCCCCCCAAGAGGGCUGUCAUGUAGUGCUGACAUAAUGUUCUUGUGAAUACUUGGAUCAUUACCAACCCAUACCCUGCCUUUAUAACGUAUAAUGCCCGAGUGCAAAGUGUAGUGGGUGGAAUCAGACUGAUUGGUAGCAAGAGCAGCCAAAAGAGCUUGUGCUUUAACAUCUUGAACAUAGCUAUCAGCAACCUGAAGUAGCCAUUGAGGAACUGCAGUAGAUAGACUGAACAAGGCGGGUUCAACAGGUGGCAUGCGAGACAAGGCAUCAGCUGCCCCAUUUUCCACCCCUUUCUUGUACACCACCCUAUAUUGGAGACCCAAUAACUUGGAGAACACUCUCUGUUGCCAAUGAGUGUUGAGCUUUUGUUCAGAUAAAUGAGACAAACUUCUGUGGUCAGUAAAGAUAAUAAAUUCGGCAUGUUGUAGGUAUUGUCUCCAUUGAUUGACUGCAAGGAGAAUAGCAAGAUACUCCUUUUCAUAGGCUGAUAGUCCUUGGUUCUUGGGUCCUAAGGCCUUACUGACAAAGGCCAAUGGGUGACCUUCUUGUAGCAACACAGCACCAAUACCAUACCCCGAUGUGUCACACUCAAUAGCAAAAGGAACUUCAAAGUUAGGCAAUGCUAAGACAGGGGCAGAACAUAGUGAUUGUUUAAGUGUAUCAAAUGCCACUGAAUGAUCCUGAGUCCAUACAAACAAAACCCCCUUCUUUAGCAGCUCAGUCAAGGGCUUGGCAAUCAUGCCAAAAUGCUUGACAAAUUUUCUAUAGUACCCAACCAGUCCAAGAAAUCCUCUGAGUUCCUUGCAGUUAGUAGGCACAGGCCACGAUUUAACAGCCUCAACCUUAGCAGGAUCUGUAGACACUCCUUUGCUGCAUAUAACAUGGCCUAGGUAAGCAAUUUGCUGUUGUGCAAAAGCACAUUUGGAGAGCUUGAUAUGCCAUUGAUCUGUUAAAAGCAAUUGCAGGACCUGUCCCAAAUGAACAAGAUGACUCUCCCAGGUUUUACUAUAUACCAAAAUAUCAUCAAAAAACACCAGUGCGCACUUCCUUAGUAAAGGAGCUAGGGUGGAAUUCAUGGCUCCUUGGAAAGUAGCUGGUGCCCCAGACAACCCAAAUGCCAUGACUCGAAAUUCAAAGUGCCCAUGAUGCGUUUGGAAUGCUGUCUUAUAUUGAUCUUGUGGGUCCAUUCUGAUUUGGUGAAAACCAGCCCUCAAGUCUAGAGUAGAGAACCAACAGGCACCAUGGAGCUCGUCCAGAAACUCAUCUAUCACUGGCACUGGAAACUUUGUUUUGAGUGUAAGAGCAUUGAGGUGACGAUAGUCCACACAAAACCUGUAGGUUUGGUCCUUUUUCUUAACCAAAAUGACAGAAGAAGAAAAUGCACUCUUGCUUGGCUGAAUAAUGCCUGACUGCAACAUUUCAGAAACUUGAUUUUCAAUUUCUGUCUUCAGAGCAGGUGCAUACCGGUAGGGUCUCAUCUGCACGGGCCUAGCACCAGGUAUCAAUGGAAUUUGAUGAUCACACUCUCUGGCAGGUGGCAUGCCUUUGGGUACAUCAAAAACUGAAAAAUACUGCUGUAUCAAAUCCUGUAUAGCAGCAGGUAGCUUCUGCAAUAUAGUAUGUUCUUUGUCAGAGAGCUCGAACAAGGUGCAGACCUGGACCAUUGAUUCCAGCAGUACUGACGAAGUAAGACCAUGAAGGGUUACAUAAGUUCCUUUAAUAGGAAUGGUCAACCACUUAUGUGCCCAAUGAACCAUCAUAGGACUGUGAGCCUCGAGCCAAUCCAUACCAAUAAUCAGGUCAUACGUAGAUAGGGGCAGCACCCUUAAGUUGGAAGAGAAUGGCACACCACUCAAGGACCAGGAAGCGUCCAAAGCUUGGCUGGAGCAGCACAAGUAAGAACCGUUUGCUAUCUGAACAUUAACAGGUUUGUCCAAUUCGACAAUAUUGGGCAAGAUAGAAGCCACUGUUGUACUAACAAAAGAAUGGGAACUGCCUGAAUCCAAUAAGGCCAAUACGUCCAUUCCAGCAAUAUGUCCCACAAAGCGCAUGGUUCGCGUAGCAUGAACUCCUUGCUCAGCAGCCUUGGACAAGAAUGAAUUCAACUCAAAAGUGUCCUCCUUCUCCAGGAUCUCGGGGUCAUCAGUAUCAGGCAAAGGUACCAUUUGCCAUAACUCUUCCACCAUUUGCAACUGAAUAGUGUCAGCACAUUUAUGACCCUUGGCAUACUGUAGUCCACACUUGUAGCACAGCCCUUGUGCUUUGCGGUAAGCAUACAAGGAUGCUAACCGAGAGUCAGUAGUAGAAUUAGGGGCCCCUUGUGGUCGCUUGUCCUCCAUCCUCGCAUUAGGCACCACCUUGGAGUCCUUAGGCAUCAUCGAUUGUGCUUGAGUGGACUGCAUAGAUGGAGACGACAGCCAGUUUUGAGGCCACCGGCGCGGCUCACGUUUCUUGAUCAUCUCACCAGCUUCUUCCUGCAAUUGAGCCAAUACAGCAGCAGUAUCGAAAUCCUUGGGACGUUGAAUCAUUACUACUGCCUUAAUAUCGUCCCUUAAGCCAUCAACAAACUUCAUCGUAUAAUAAAGAGGGUCAGACAUGUGCUGAUAUGCAUUGAGUUUGUCUACUAACUGUGAAAACUCAUCGACAUAAGAUGACACCGAUCCUGACUGUCUGAUAUGGAAGAGCUGUCUAAGUAAAACUUGGUGUUGGUCCUUGGCAAAACGCUCUCGGAUCAAAGCACAAAAACUCUCCCAAGAUAUAUAACCCAACUGAUUCUCCACUGACUGCAACCACCUAGCUGCAGGCCCCACAAAUUGCAUGGAAGCGACCUCAAUCCACAUGACAUAAUCGACCUCAUACAUGCGAAAAUAGGCCUCACAUCGGGACUGCCAUAACUUGGGGUUUUCGCCAUCGAAGGAAGGAAAAUGGAGCUUAGGCAGAUUACCCAAAGGCCGGCUAUGGUGAUCCCCAACCCCCUGUGGCCCAGUACGAUGUCCCAAGGGCACAUCAAAUGUCCGUGGAAAUAAAGUAUGACGAGGAGGUGGGCCAGGGUCGUGCAUACCAUUGUUCGGGAGAUGGUGAUGGAAAUGGGUAUUUCCAAAACCAGUCCCCCGAUGUAGAAGAGGAGAGCCAUGCCCCAUGGGCCCGUCGGUGUGGUUCGCGGACGCAGGUUGGCGCUCCGCUGCCGACGCGAAUGAGCCAAGUACCCCAGCGUGGGACGCUGGUUCUUCGACCGCUGCGCGCUCCAGGAACCGAGCGACCUUGUGGAGCUCCGCCUUGAUGCCCUCCACGGAGGAAUGGAUGUCGUGGACCGACCCUUCGAUGCGGGGACGCCAUUCUUCGAAGGAGGAAGUGAUGUUCUCCAGGGAUGCGACACGGCCCGAUGCAUCCGCCGCCAGCGCGUCGAGACGAUCCAUCGCAACCGCCUGCAUCUCCGCCAUCUGGCCGUCGAGAUGCGCCCGUAAGUCGCGCCCCAGGUCCGCUCGGGGCAGAACACCUUCCACCCCAUCAAAUUUGGCAGACAAUGACGCAAUAUUCUCGGAGUUCUUCCCCACGGUAGACUCCAAUUGCUUCCAGCGCUCCUCAGUAGACUCCAGCCGAUCGCACAUCUGCUGCAGGAGUCUUGAUUGCGUCGCCAGCGUCUUCGAUUGGGCCUCAAUGGACUUGGACUGUGCGGCUAUUGCCGCCGCAACGCCGGGGUCUGCUGCGCCCGACAUCUUGGCCCUCCUGGUGUAGUGGAAGGUCGUCGCCAGGGCCGGAACCAGACCUUUGAUACCAAUUGUCAGCGUCCUCCACCUGAUGGCGAACGCUGCUCGUUGCAGAGAGGAACGAGAGGGAGAAGACAACCAGGAAGGAGAGGUGAGUUCUGUAUUUUUAUUCCCAAAACUGUCUUUCUCAGUACAAGUGCUACUAUUUAUUACAACCAGCUAUUAAGCGCCGACCCACCCUUCAACGGAUCCACUCGGCACCGGACCAUUUGCUAUUGGGCUUCCUUGUUCGCCGGCCCAUCACUUCAUCAGUUCCUGCUCUCCUGUCGUCCCCCAACUCCAGGUCGCCUACAGGAAUACUGACAUUUCUGAUGGCGAACGCUGCUCGUUGCAGAGAGGAACGAGAGGGAGAAGACAACCAGGAAGGAGAGGUGAGUUCUGUAUUUUUAUUCCCAAAGCUGUCUUUCUCAGUACAAGUGCUACUAUUUAUUACAACCAGCUAUUAAGCGCCGGCCCACCCUUCAACGGAUCCACUCGGCACCGGACCAUUUGCUAUUGGGCUUCCUUGUUCGCCGGCCCAUCACUUCAUCAGUUCCUGCUCUCCUGUCGUCCCCCAACUCCAGGUCGCCUACAGGAAUACUGACAUCCUGGUCCAAGCUGCCGCCGCGAAGGAGCAGAGCCGGGCGAGCAGAAAUCCGGCGCCGAGCAUAGGAGGAACGACUGGGCUGGGCGAAACUUGGAGGACGGCCGAGCUAGGCGAGCUUCAGGGAGAAGAAGGAAGUCUGGGCGCUAGGGAAUCGAGUGCCCCAGCAUCUGCCCGAAACAGCCGAGCAAUCUGCCGCACGAGCACGCAUAGCGCGCAUAUAAAGCGAACAGGGGCGGCGGCAAAAAUAUCACGCAGUGAGGUACGGCGGCUAAGGAGAGGAUGAGAACAACUAAGACACAGGAAAAUCUUGCGCCGGCUGAACGGACGAAGGAGAGAAGAUGAGCAUGUCGACAGAUGGAGGAUAAGGCUCCUGGGCGAGCACCAAUACGGGAGAGGAGAGAUAUGGAUGCGUGCCUGGCUUUGACGAUAGGAAGCAGAGAGAGGGCGGUGAGGAUAGAGGAUAUUUUCUUUUUUUUUCUCUCUUUUUUUUAGAUUUUCUUUUCUCUCUUUCUUUUAUCAGUAAUCGAAGAUAUUUUGAUCAUGAUUUCUAGCAAUAACAAAAAGGUCGACCGUAUUGCGACACAGUUUGAUUUGAUUCGAAAUCUAAUAAAUUUACCUACGGUCUGAACACAUGAUUCCAUGGUCACGGUAAUUUACCAGAGAAUCAAAGCUCAAUUAUAAUUCUCGGAUCACUAAACGGAAAAUCAGAGAUUAACGAUUCUAACUAAAUUUCAUUUAGAUAGUUUUCGUGACUAUUUUGGGCAAGAUAUAAACGGACUGGAUAACGGAUGCAGUAUUUGAGACAAUACUGGUUUAGUCGAUCUCGGAUAAAAAUUUAUCCGAUGUCUAGGCACAGUUGAUUUUAUUAUUUUACCGAGUGUGCUGAAAAAUAAAUUAGAUCAUCGCCUCGCACACGAUUUUUUUCUCGGACAGUGCGCGAUUUAGAUUAUUUUGCUCCGAACAUUUCUGUCGUCGAGUUCAAAAUAAAUUUGUUCGGGAUAAAAAGGCGUAGAAUGAGGUCGAGCUUCUGAAUUCGGAUUCGCGCGACGAUGAAUUUUAAUUAAUCAUCGGACGCACCGACGACGUUCCGAACAUCACGAAAAUUUCGGAAGAGCCCGGAUAGACGAAAAAUAAAAAUGAUGUCGCACUCGCGACAGAUGAAACAGACGUGAUAUUAAAAUCGCGAUACACGAAGACGAUUAAAAUUUAACAUCUGUUUCAUUCACUGAUAUUACGUACUUAAAUCCACACUCAUUGUCGAGCGGAAUAUAAACACCUGGGGUGUUACAGUAAUUAUACUAGCGCGGGAGUUCGUUGGGGUUUCUUGCCAUUUUCCGGCCGAAACUUUUAUCCUUAGUGC
rnacentral:lncRNA from 1 species